rnacentral:rRNA from 1 species
GACGAACACUGGCGGCAUGCCUAAUACAUGCAAGUCGAGCGAACAGAUGAAGUGCUUGCACUUCUGACGUUAGCGGCGAACGGGUGAGUAACACGUAAGGAAUCUACCUAUAAGCGGGGGAUAACAUUCGGAAACGGGUGCUAAUACCGCAUAAUAUCUUCUUCCGCAUGGAAGAAGAUUGAAAGACGGCUCUGCUGUCACUUAUAGAUGACCUUGCGGUGCAUUAGUUAGUUGGUGGGGUAAUGGCCUACAAAGACAAUGAUGCAUAGCCGACCUGAGAGGGUGAUCGGCCGCAUUGGGACUGAGAAACGGCCCAAGCUCCUACGGGAGGCAGCGGUAGGGAAUCUUCCGCAAUGGGCGAAAGCCUGACGGAGCAAUGCCGCGUGAGUGAAGAAGGCCUUCGGGUCGUAAAACUCUGUUAUAAGAGAAGAACAAAUUGUAGAGCAACUGCUACAGUCUUGACGGUAUCUUAUCAGAAAGCCACGGCUAACUACGUGCCAGCCGCCGCCGUAA